GUGCUCACUUCAGCGGCACAUAUCCUAAAACUGGAACAAUACAGAGAAGAUUAACUUGGCCCCUGUGCAAGGAUGAUACACAAAUCUGUGAAGCGUUCCAUAUUUUU
rnacentral:snRNA from 1 species